UACGUAGGUUCCGAGCGUUGUCCGGAUUUAUUGGGCGUAAAGCGAGCGCAGGCGGUUAGAUAAGUCUGAAGUUAAAGGCUGUGGCUUAACCAUAGUACGCUUUGGAAACUGUUUAACUUGAGUGCAAGAGGGGAGAGUGGAAUUCCAUGUGUAGCGGUGAAAUGCGUAGAUAUAUGGAGGAACACCGGUGGCGAAAGCGGCUCUCUGGCUUGUAACUGACGCUGAGGCUCGAAAGCGUGGGGAGCAAACAGGAUUAGAUACCUGGUAGUC
rnacentral:rRNA from 1 species